AAAAUCUAUCAGUGUUUUUUCCUCCUUUUUUUUCUUUUAUAUAUUGAACAAGUUUUAGGAAAUGCUGUUUUACUUACUAGCAAUAAUAACCCUACACACCAUCAACACGGACAUACAGGAAGCAAGCCAAAAGUUGAUGUACAUAGUUUAAUUAAAGAUCUUAUAGCAAAGGAAGAUGAAGUGGCUGAUUUAGAGAAAUCAAAUUUAAAAUGUAAAAUUAUUGCUACGGUUUUGGGAAUACUAGCUACUAUUGCAUCAGUCGUUGCUGGUGUUCUGGCAUAUAAAUGUGCCUUUAAAAAAGGAGAGAGACAAUAUAAAAGCGGUUUUGAUGGUACUAAUGAUGAUGGUGGUAGUGGUGAUGGUGUUGGAGGUGGUAGUGGUGAUGGCAGUGGUAGCAGUGGUAGUGGUGGAGAUAACAUAACUCCACUAUUGUCAGAUAAAUGAUGUAAAAUAUGUGCUGAUACAAAGAUAAACACUGAUAGGAAUAAUUUAGGAAAUAGGACCUUUAAUUUAUAUAACUUGGCUACCUACAAAGUAUAUUUUAUAUUAAUUGUUAGGUUUUCAAACACGCCAGUAUAUAUUUUUUUAUUAUUAAUAUAAAGAAAUGUUGCAUGUACAUAUAUAUAAGCACUUAUUUUGUAAAAGUUACUGCUUCUUUUAAGAUAAUAAUGUGUUUUUUUUUUUUUUUUUAUAAUAAUUUUUUUUUUUUUUUUAUAUUGUACUAAUGAAAUGUAUUUGGUUGUAGUGAUUUUAACGGUAUAUAUACAUAUAUUCAUUUAUUUAUUGUUAUUUUUUUUUUUUCUAUAUUUAUUUUUACUUAUCUAGUAAUUUUUUUUAAUUUUAAUUAAUUUUUAUAUUGAUUUUUUUAUAUACUACUAUUAUUAUUAUUACUAUUAUUAUUUUAUUUGAUAUUUCUUUUAAUUUUAAUUUUUGGCAUAUUUUACUAUUUAAAAGGAUUUUUAUUUUAUAUAAAACUGUUUGAUGGGUAGUGUUUCUCUUCUUUUAUUAAUUUUUAUUUAUUAAGAAUUAUAUUAAAUGAUAUGUAAAAAAAAAUAAAAAAAAUAAAAUUCAGUUUUUUUUCUUCUUU
rnacentral:lncRNA from 1 species